GUCAAAGUCAGAACAUUUUGAUUUCAAUUCAUACAAAAUACAUCACUAAUUAACCUCAUAAUACAACUUUAGUAUUUUCUAACACAACUUAUUCCUCUACUGUUGGUUCACCCAAAUAUGAGAUAUGUUUAAUGUUAGACAUGGUACAUGUAUCCAUUUCAUAAACCCACCAACCAUGAAUACUUCCACGACUAAAAUAAACACAAUUUCCCCUGCAUCCAACUCUGCUUGGGGAGACAGACAUACAACAAUUAGAACCCAAAAAUAAUGUUCUUGCAGCCGCGAGGACAAAGCAGCACAUAAAAAUGGAAACCUAGCAUCCCAUGAUGGGAUGCACCAGUGUCCUUCCAUCACUGGAUCCCAN
rnacentral:lncRNA from 1 species